UAAUACGGAGGGGGCUAGCGUUGUUCGGAAUUACUGGGCGUAAAGCGUAUGUAGGCGGAUCAAAAAGUUAGAUGUGAAAUCCCUGGGCUUAACCCAGGAACUGCAUUUAAAACUAGAGAUCUAGAAUUUGGUAGAGGAUAGUAGAAUUUCCAGUGUAGAGGUGAAAUUCGUAGAUAUUGGAAAGAAUACCAGUGGCGAAGGCGACUAUCUGGGCCAUUUUUGACGCUGAGAUACGAAAGCGUGGGUAGCAAACAGGACUAGAUACCCUGGUAGUCCACGCAGUAAACGAUGAGUGCUAGUCGCUGGAUCAAUAGGUUCGGUGUCGAAGCUAACGCAUUAAGCACUCCGCCUGGGAAGUACGGUCGCAAGAUUA
rnacentral:rRNA from 1 species